UACGUAGGGUGCAAGCGUUGUCCGGAAUUAUUGGGCGUAAAGAGCUCGUAGGCGGUCUGUCGCGUCGCUGUGAAAACUCGGGGCUCAACUCCGAGCUUGCAGUCGAUACGGGCAGGCUAGAGUUCGGCAGGGGAGACUGGAAUUCCUGGUGUAGCGGUGAAAUGCGCAGAUAUCAGGAGGAACACCGGUGGCGAAGGCAGCCCCCUGGGCUAACACUGACGCUCAUGCACGAAAGCGUGGGGAGCAAACAGG
rnacentral:rRNA from 1 species